UACGUAGGUGGCAAGCGUUGUCCGGAUUUACUGGGUGUAAAGGGCGUGUAGCCGGGUUGACAAGUCAGAUGUAAAAUCCUGCGGCUUAACCGCAGAACUGCAUUUGAAACUGUUGAUCUUGAGUACUGGAGAGGCAGACGGAAUUCCUAGUGUAGCGGUGAAAUGCGUAGAUAUUAGGAGGAACACCAGUGGCGAAGGCGGUCUGCUGGACAGCAACUGACGGUGAGGCGCGAAAGCGUGGGGAGCAAACAGG
rnacentral:rRNA from 1 species